rnacentral:rRNA from 1 species
AUGCAGAUCUUCGUGAAGACGCUGACCGGGAAGACCAUCACGCUGGAGGUGGAGUCCUCGGACACCAUCGACAACGUCAAGGCCAAGAUCCAGGACAAGGAAGGUAUCCCGCCGGACCAGCAGCGCCUCAUCUUCGCGGGGAAGCAGCUGGAGGAUGGCCGCACUCUGGCCGACUACAACAUCCAAAAGGAGUCGACGCUUCACCUGGUGCUGCGCCUCCGCGGUGGCAGCAGAGGUCAAUACCCCAAGAACCUCGAGCCCAACCUCCGCAUCCUUGCUCAAAAGUACAAUGAGAACAAACUAGUCUGCCGCAGGUGCUAUGCACGCCUACCCCUCAGGGCCACCAACUGCCGCAAGAAGAAGUGUGGACAUAACAAUCAGAUAAGGGAAAAGAAGAGGUUUAUGUCCAAGUUUGGGAGCGAUUCUUGA